rnacentral:rRNA from 1 species
GUGACUGCGUACCUUUUGUAUAAUGGGUCAGCGACUUAUAUUCUGUAGCAAGGUUAACCGUAUAGGGGAGCCGGAGGGAAACCGAGUCUUAACCGGGCGUUAAGUUGCAGGGUAUAGACCCGAAACCCGGUGAUCUAGCCAUGGGCAGGUUGAAGGUUGGGUAACACUAACUGGAGGACCGAACCGACUAAUGUUGAAAAAUGGCGGCAGGCCUUG